CCCUUUCCAGUCCCUUGCUUGGCCCGGCGCUUCCUUUCACUCUCUCUUGCUCCCAAGGCGGCGCCGCUGGAAGGGCUCCGCAGAGGGGUUCGCGGCGCGCACACAAAGGGCGCUGGGGAGGCGCGGCGGGAGCCGACAGCGGGGCGCUGACGGGUCCCGCGCAGCCCCAGCCGACCCCAGAGGCCAGCUCUUCCCGGUCGAGAGCCAAGCGCCGGGGCGGCCGCUGCCGAGGGCGGGGCGGAGGGUGCCUGUCCUUUGGGAGGUGGCUGCCCGGGGGGCAGUUGGGGCGCGCGUGGGAAACGCUCCCGGAGAGUUGGGGAGGAAUUGAGGUGGAAGCCGAGGAAGGAGGGGCCGGAGCGGAGAGUGGAGGCGGGCGGAUGCCCUGAAGCCUGAGGAGUUGGUGGGAAGCCGCUGGCGCGGGCAAAGGCUUCUGCACGCGGACUCCGACUGCCUCCAGGACGCGCCUCUUUGGAGAAGAGUCCCGAACCCGCCGCCGCCGCCGCCGCCGCCUCCAGGCAGCGGCCGUCGGGCAGCUGGCGCGGGCUGCCUUGGCCGCCAGGAAAGCGCUCUCAAGGCGGUGAUGGUGGAGCGGCCGGCCGAGGCCCGGCGCUGGGCUCCCCCCCGCCGGCGGUCGGCCUCCGCUCUGCCGGGCGCUCCCCGCCAGGGGGCGGCGCAGCGCGGAGCGAGCGGGCUGCGGCGGGCGGCGGCCCGGUGGCGGGGUCGGUAAGGGAGCAGGCGUCGAGUCACCGCCUCCCCUGGGCACGUCGUCGCCCCCCGGCGCCUCCCGGAGUCCAGAGUCUGCGGAGGCCGCGUGGUCUGCACGUGGACCUUCCUAUGUUUGCUGUGUUGCCCUUUGGAGACAAAACAAGGCAAAAGCUUGAGAAUAUUUGACAUAUAAUGGAAAUAGGAGUUACUAAUGAGGACCAGUUUUUAUGACCGCUUGGAUCAAAGUCCAGAAACCGAAGUUUUACACUUCCAUGUAACUUUCUAUGAGAGACUUUUUACUUGACACUGCAAAACUGUGCUGAAUUAGUUGACAUUCUGGGUCCUGUGUUUGAGACUUUUUUCUUUUCUCUUUUCUUUCUUUCAUAUUUUUUUCUUAUCUCUAAAAGCUGUAACAUUUUUAUUGGCAAGAUAUUUGUAUUAAAAUCAGAUGAUGGAUAUAAAAUAAAUAUUGCCAUCCACUUUUUAAAAACACUGUUUCUGUAAUUACAUAGGAAUAUAGUUUUCAAUUUUCAAACAAAUGAUUUGUUAAGCAUAUUUUAUUAAGCUGUCAGUAGUGUUGAAGAUAAUAAAACCCUGUGGUUAUUGACUCAGUGUGACUUUAAUAUUAUUUAUAAUAUUUUUUAUGAUGGUAAUUCUGAUGCAGGAAUGACCUUUUCUUUUUGUAUUGUUUAGAAACAGGGUUCAUAUGGUCAGCUUUAAGCUGCUUUUUUAGUGCCCUGAAAGUACUCAUGUGUAUCAGAUUCUUUCCUCCUAAAAGAAGCUGUAGGAGCCCUUAUAAUGAUGUUUCCCAUUGCCCUUCUAUCGCUAGUGUUCUCAGGGUUUCAAAUUCAGAUCCAUUUUAGAGUCUGCAAUGCAAGGUCAUGAUUCCUAACAAUGUGGUAGAAUUAAUGCAGUGGCAAUUAUUCAUAGUUGCAUAUCUCAAAAUAAAUCUAUUUGCUUAGCUAACAAAAACUUAAGUAGGCAUAUAGUACAAUUCAGUAGCUUUUUUUCAGAUCUGUGAAAAUGGCUGAUAUUUUCAUAAGAUCAUGUUUUCAACACCUCAAGGUGUACAAUUUUUAGCAUUUUGAAUAUGGUGUGCAACAAAAUUUUCUUUUAAAGUAAUUCCACCUAAAUAUUUAAGUAUUUAAAAUAUCUGAAACUGACCCUCCCCCCUCUCAUGUGCU